rnacentral:rRNA from 1 species
GAGACCCUACGGGGGGCAGCAGUGAGGAAUAUUGGUCAAUGGGCGCAAGCCUGAACCAGCCACGUCGCGUGAGGGAUGACGGUCCUAUGGAUUGUAAACCUCUUUUGUCGGGGAGCAAGGCCCGCCACGUGUGGCGGGAAGGAGAGUACCCGAAGAAAAAGCAUCGGCUAACUCCGUGCCAGCAGCCGCGGUAAUACGGAGGAUGCGAGCGUUAUCCGGAUUUAUUGGGGUUUAAGGGUGCGUAUGCGGAAGGGUAAGUCAGC